GCAUGAAGAAAGGAUCAGUGGUCAAGGGGAGAUAAUUUUGAUAUAUUUUAGAGUAUCUAACUAAUUUUCUGAUUUUCUUAGUUGCAGGCCUUUAUCCAGGUAUGCACAUAAAAUAGAUAGAAAUCUGCUAUCUUCAUUAAUCAUGAUCCAUGAAAAAAGAUCAUUUAUAUUUAAACUAUCUAAACUGGGGUAUUUUUUUAUAUAAUCAGUGAUAUCUCUUCUGAGGUUAUUGUACAAAGGGCAUUCCAGAAGAAAGUGCAUUUCAUUUUCAAUACAAUUUGUAUUACAAUAUAAACAUAUCCUCUCAUGUCGAGGUAAUAUUUCAUAUUUACCACAUACAUUGGUAAUUCGUUCAUGUCUGCCAGUUUCUAUUCUUAAACAGUGAUUGCUAAGUCUGAAUUUUGUUAAUAAAUG
rnacentral:lncRNA from 1 species